rnacentral:tRNA from 1 species
UGGGUUGGGGGGCAGUCUGCCCAUAAAUAGAUUUACAGUCUACCGCCUUAUUCAGCCACCAAACC